GGACCGGGACGGACGAACCUCUGGUGUGCCAGUUGUCCUGCCAAGGGCAUGGCUGGUUGGCUACGUUCGGGAGGGAUAACCGCUGAAAGCAUCUAAGCGGGAAGCCUGCUUCGAGAUGAGGACUCCCACCCACUUGAUGGGGUAAGGCUCCCAGUAGACGACUGGGUUGAUAGGCCGGAUCUGGAAGCACGGUAACGUGUGGAGGUGACCGGUACUAAUAGGCCGAGGGCUUGUCCUCAGUUG
rnacentral:rRNA from 1 species